rnacentral:rRNA from 1 species
UACGUAGGGCGCAAGCGUUGUCCGGAAUUAUUGGGCGUAAAGAGCUCGUAGGCGGUUUGUCGCGUCUGCUGUGAAAACCUAAGGCUCAACCUUGGGCUUGCAGUGGGUACGGGCAGACUAGAGUGCGGUAGGGGAGAGCGGAAUUCCUGGUGUAGCGGUGAAAUGCGCAGAUAUCAGGAGGAACACCGGUGGCGAAGGCGGAUCUCUGGGCCGUAACUGACGCUGAGGAGCGAAAGCAUGGGGAGCGAACAGG